UACGAAGGGGCUAGCGUUGCUCGGAAUCACUGGGCGUAAAGGUGCGUAGGCGGGUCUUUAAGUCAGGGUGAAAUCCUGGAGCUCAACUCCAGAACUGCCUUUGAUACUGAGGAUCUUGAGUUCGGGAGAGGUGAGUGGAACUGCGAGUGUAGAGGUGAAAUUCGUAGAUAUUCGCAAGAACACCAGUGGCGAAGGCGGCUCACUGGCCCGAUACUGACGCUGAGGCACGGAAAGCGUGGGAGCCAAACAGG
rnacentral:rRNA from 1 species